AUGCUUCGGCAGCACAUAUACUAAAAUUGGAACGAUACAGAGAAGAUUAGCAUGGCCCCUGCGCGAAACUAAUACUUUUAAUAGUAAUACUUUUAAUAGUUUU